AGAGUUUGAUCAUGGCUCAGGGUGAACGCUGGCGGCGUGCUUGACACAUGCAAGUCGAACGGUAUGUGGCAACACAUAGAGUGGCGAACGGGUGAGUAACACGUGGGAACGUAUCUUUUGCAGGGGGAUAACUGACCGAAAGGACAGCUAAUACCGCAUAAGUCCGGGAGGAGAAAGGUGCAACAGCAUCGGCAGAAGAGCGGCCCGCGGUCCAUCAGCUAGUUGGUGAGGUAAGGGCUUACCAAGGCGACGACGGAUAGCCGGCGUGAGAGCGUGGCCGGCCACAAGGACACUGAGAUACGGGUCCUACUCCUACGGGAGGCAGCAGUGCGGAAUUUUAGAUAAUGGAGGGAACUCUGAUCUAGCGACGCCGCGUGCAGGAAGAAGGUCUUCGGAUUGUAAACUGCUGUGGUAAGGGAAAAAUGCUAUGUAGAGUGGAAAGCUACAUAGAGGGAUGGUACCUUACUAGAAAGCCCCGGCUAACUACGUGCCAGCAGCCGCGGUAAUACGUAGGGGGCGAGCGUUACCCGGAAUCACUGGGCGUAAAGGGAGCGUAGGUGGCCUAACAUGUCAACUGUGAAAACCCGGAGCUCAACUCCGGACUUGCAGUUGAAACUGGUAGGCUUGAGGACGGUAGAGGAAGACGGAACUGCCAGUGUAGGGGUAAAAUCCUUAGAUAUUGGCAGGAACGCCGGUGACGAAGGUGGUUUUCUGGGCCGGUUCUGACACUGAUGCUCGAAAGCCAGGGGAGCGAACGGGAUUAGAUACCCCGGUAGUCCUGGCCCUAAACGAUGUUCACUAGGUGUGGGGAGCGGAAAGCUCUCCGUGCUAAAGCUAACGCGAUAAGUGAACCGCCUGGGGAGCACGCCCGCAAGGGUGAAACUCAAAGGAAUUGACGG
rnacentral:rRNA from 1 species